rnacentral:tRNA from 1 species
GAUUCUGUAGUAUAGCGGUUAUCACGUUCGCUUUACACGCGAAAGGUCCCCGGUUCGAACCCGGGCAGAAUCA